UGGGGAAUAUUGCACAAUGGGCGCAAGCCUGAUGCAGCCAUGCCGCGUGUGUGAAGAAGGCCUUCGGGUUGUAAAGCACUUUCAGCGGGGAGGAAGGCGAUAAGGUUAAUAACCUUGGCGAUUGACGUUACCUGCAGAAGAAGCACCGGCUAACUCCGUGCCAGCAGCCGCGGUAAUACGGAGGGUGCAAGCGUUAAUCGGAAUUACUGGGCGUAAAGCGCACGCAGGCGGUCUGUCAAGUCGGAUGUGAAAUCCCCGGGCUCAACCUGGGAACUGCAUUCGAAACUGGCAGGCUAGAGUCUUGUAGAGGGGGGUAGAAUUCCAGGUGUAGCGGUGAAAUGCGUAGAGAUCUGGAGGAAUACCGGUGGCGAAGGCGGCCCCCUGGACAAAGACUGACGCUCAGGUGCGAAAGCGUGGGGAGCAAACAGG
rnacentral:rRNA from 1 species